UACGGAGGGUGCAAGCGUUGUCCGGAUUUAUUGGGUUUAAAGGGUGCGUAGGCGGCCCGUUAAGUCAGUGGUGAAAACCUCCAGCUCAACUGGAGAACUGCCAUUGAUACUGGCGGGCUUGAGUACAGACGAGGUUGGCGGAAUUGAUUGUGUAGCGGUGAAAUGCAUAGAUACAAUCAAGAACACCGAUUGCGUAGGCAGCUAACUAGGCUGUAACUGACGCUGAGGCACGAAAGCGUGGGGAGCGAACAGG
rnacentral:rRNA from 1 species